UUUAAUUCGAAGCGACGCGCAGAACCUUACCAGCCCUUGACAUGGGCGUCGCGGGUCCAGAGAUGGGCCUUUCGGUUCGGCCGGACGCCGCACAGGUGCUGCAUGGCUGUCGUCAGCUCGUGUCGUGAGAUGUUGGGUUAAGUCCCGCAACGAGCGCAACCCCCAUCUUCAGUUGCCAGCAUGUAACGAUGGGCACUCUGGAGAAACCGCCGGUGACAAGCCGGAGGAAGGCGGGGAUGACGUCAAGUCCUCAUGGCCCUUAUGGGCUGGGCUACACACGUGCUACAAUGGUGGUGACAGUGGGCAGCGAGAUCGCGAGAUCGAGCCAAUCUCCAAAAGCCAUCUCAGUUCGGAUCGCACUCUGCAACUCGGGUGCGUGAAGUUGGAAUCGCUAGUAAUCGCGGAUCAGCACGCCG
rnacentral:rRNA from 1 species